GAUGAACGCUGGCGGCGUGCCUAAUACAUGCAAGUCGAGCGAACGGACGAGAAGCUUGCUUCUUUGACGUUAGCGGCGGACGGGUGUGUAACACGUGGAUAACCUACCUAUAAGACUGGGAUAACUUCGGGAAACCGGAGCUAAUACCGGAGGAUAUUUUGAACCGCAUGGUUCAAAAGUGAAAGACGGUCUUGCUGGCAGUUGUAGAUGGAUCUGCGCUGUAUUAGCUAGUUGGUGAGGUAACGGCUUACCAAGGCAAUGAUGGAUAGCCGACAUGGGAGCGUGAACGCGGUCAAGGCGCCUGCGAGAGGCAGCAGUAGGGAAUCGUACGCAGUGGGCGGGAGCCUGGCGGAGUGGCGCGGAGCGAGUGAUAGAGGUGUUCGGAUCGUAAAACUGUGUUAUGAGGGAAGAACAGAUGUGUAAUGUGAUGUGCAGAGCUUGACGGUACCGGAUAAGGAAGCAACGGCUAACUACGUG
rnacentral:rRNA from 1 species